rnacentral:rRNA from 1 species
GACGAACGCUGGCGGCGUGCUUAACACAUGCAAGUCGAACGGUGAAGCACCUUCCUUUUGGUGGGUGUGGAUGAGUGGCGAACGGGUGAGUAACACGUGAGUAACCUGCCCCCUUCUUCUGGAUAACCGCAUGAAAGUGUGGCUAAUACGGGAUAUUCUGUGCCUGCUGCAUGGUGGGUGUGGGAAAGAUGCGCUUUUGGGUGUUUUUGGUGGGGGAUGGGCUCGCGGCCUAUCAGCUUGUUGGUGGGGUGAUGGCCUACCAAGGCGGUGACGGGUAGCCGGCCUGAGAGGGUAGACGGUCACACUGGGACUGAGACACGGCCCAGACUCCUACGGGAGGCAGCAGUGGGGAAUAGUGCACAAUGGGCGCAAGCCUGAUGCAGCGACGCCGCGUGAGGGAUGGAGGCCUUCGGGUUGUAAACCUCUUUCGCCAGUGAAGCAGGCCUGUCCCUUGUGGGUGGGUUGACGGUAGCUGGAUAAGAAGCGCCGGCUAACUACGUG